CAGCGUCUUGAGACGCGCACAAAACUGAGAAAGUUACGAUCAUCGGGGCUUUUUUUCUGCCUGUAUUUAUGUUUUCUUUCUCCUCAACAUUUCUUCCAAAGAUAGCGCAGUAACAGUAAGACGGAAGUCAUCGCAUUGAUGAGCAUUUGUAUGAAAACCAGGAUCCACGUUAUAGAGAUCAACUGCUUGGAGCUGCACGGGGCAAAGGCUUUCAUAUGGCAAGAAAGAAUGCUGCGAGUUUUGGCAAAGCAACACGUCACAUGUACUAGGAACUUGGCGUACAUCACAUGCAAGAUAGGUUGCUGAUGGGGUGAUACACCUAAUGAGGUAUCGGCUUCCCUUUCCUUCCGAGACCAUCCCUACAUCUCCUGUCGAUCCGAAGGCAAUGCCGUGACGACGACGAGGAACAACAUCCGCCAGAAAUCUCUCAGCCACUAAACACACUUCAGGGCACGACAUCUAAAUAAACUACAUCCACUACACAUAAGUAAGCUCACUAGGAGAGAGAGUCAGAUAGAAAUGGUCCGUAGUACGCACUAACUAAAAAUCACAGUGUGUUCAAAACGGUUACAUCAGCUAACGCAAUGCUGAAUAUAUGUUUGUUAUCAUGA